CUACGGGGUGCAGCAGUGAGGAAUUUUGCGCAAUGGGGGCAACCCUGACGCAGCAACGCCGCGUGAGUGAAGAAGGCCUUUGGGUCGUAAAGCUCUGUCAACUGGGAAGAAGUUACGUGUAUUUAACAGAUACAGGUAUUGACGGUACCAGUGGAGGAAGCGUCGGCUAACUCCGUGCCAGCAGCCGCGGUAACACGGGGGACGCAAGCGUUAUUCGGAAUUAUUGGGCGUGAAAGGGCGCGUAGGCGGUCUUGUCGGUCAGAUGUGAAAGCCCGGGGCGCAACCCCGGACGUGCAUUUGAAACAGCAGGACUUGAGUACGGGAGAGGAAAGCGGAAUUCCUGGUGUAGAGGUGAAAUUCGUAGAUAUCAGGAGGAACACCGAUGGCGAAGGCAGCUUUCUGGACCGAUACUGACGCUGAGGCGCGAAGGCGUGGGUAGCGAACGGGAUUAGAUACCCUCGUAGUC
rnacentral:rRNA from 1 species